UACAGAGGGUGCGAGCGUUAAUCGGAAUUACUGGGCGUAAAGCGUGCGUAGACGGUUAUGUAAGUCGGAUGUGAAAGCCCCGGGCUUAACCUGGGAAUGGCAUUCGAGACUGCAUAGCUAGGAUGCGGAAGAGGGAAGUGGAAUUUCCGGUGUAGCGGUGAAAUGCGUAGAUAUCGGAAGGAACACCAGUGGCGAAAGCGACUUCCUGGUCCAGCAUCGACGUUCAGGCACGAAAGCGUGGGGAGCAAACAGG
rnacentral:rRNA from 1 species